AAGGUGGAUUUAUUAGUAAUUUAGUUUUAAUAUUGUUAAGUGAAUUGUGGAAUAACAUGUGUACAUAUUGCCCGUCGCUCUCUGAUAUUGUGAGAUAAGUCGUAACAUAGUUGAUAUACCGGAAGGUGUAUCUUUUUGU
rnacentral:rRNA from 1 species